GUGGGGAAUAUUGCGCAAUGGGGGCAACCCUGACGCAGCAACGCCGCGUGCGGGACGAAGGCAUUCGUGUCGUAAACCGCUUUCAGCAGGGAAGACAUCGACGGUACCUGCAGAAGAAGCCCCGGCUAACUACGUGCCAGCAGCCGCGGUAAUACGUAGGGGGCGAGCGUUAUCCGGAUUCAUUGGGCGUAAAGCGCGCGCAGGCGGCGCGCCAAGCGGGACCUCUAACCCCGGGGCUCAACCCCGGGCCGGGUCCCGAACUGGCGCGCUCGGGUGCGGUAGAGGAGAGCGGAAUUCCCGGUGUAGCGGUGGAAUGCGCAGAUAUCGGGAAGAACACCGAUGGCGAAGGCAGCUCUCUGGGCCGUCACCGACGCUGAGGCGCGAAAGCCGGGGGAGCGAACAGGAUUAGAAACCCUAGUAGUCC
rnacentral:rRNA from 1 species